UCUCUGUGGUGGAAGAGUUUACCCAUUGAAAGACACUUUGAUUUUCAUGUAUCGUAAAGGGUCCAAUGACAGAAGACAUGUGGAACCAGAAAUUAAAAUGUGUCACUGAAGGACGUAACAAAGCUCUAUUACCUGAAUUGAAGUCAUUGCCAGCCUUCUGUGUUUGGAUGAGAUGAGUAGAAACUUUUACUCACCAUUUAAUUGCAGAUAUUUAGACUUUAAACUAUUCAUUAUAAUUUUGGAUACAUUUUAAUAUAGCUAUUUUUCAUAAGGUGAAUGUGUUAGCUGGAAAAUAAACAUAAUUAGAACAAAUAAAUCAUUAACAAUUUUAUUUACAUUUUGAGUACAUUCCUUCUCUUGUAUUUUGUUCAUUGUUACACACUAUACAGAAGCAAAGUUAUUAAAAAUUGAAACUGCACAGAGAUUUUAUGGACAUCAUCUGUAACUACGAUAGUAUUUGGAACCCAGUCUAAAUUUAAUAAAUCCUUUCGAAAACAAAUAAUGCCAGCUAAUAAUUACUUAGUACUUCUCAGUGUUUUGCAUGCAUUACAAAUCAAAUCCUAUGUCCAGGGAUUUUGGUCUAUUUUUAUCCUCCUUUUAUAGAUGUGAAAAGUGAAGCACAGGGAGGUUAAAUAACUAAUCCAAGGUUACACGGUUUGUAAAUAGAGGAUCCAGAUUUCCAACCCAAGCAAUUUCUCUUGACACUUUUAACCACAUCAUUAUUCUGUUUUCCUGAAGAAAAAUAUUUUCAGCUCUACCCAGAACUUUAGCUGUCCUGAAGUGUUUUCAUGGUUAUUUUUUAAUAUUAUGGUCCUUUUAAAUGUGGUUGAAAAUCAAAAUCAAAUAAGUAAAUAUAACUUUUUUUUUCCAUUUCAAAGAUUUUAUUUAUUCAUUUUAAAGAGAUAGAACAUGGGAGGGGCAGAGGGAGAGGGAGAAAGAAUCUGAAGCGAACU
rnacentral:lncRNA from 1 species